ACAUUUAUAUAGUGAAACUGCGAAUGGCUCAUUAAAUCAGUUAUAAUUAACUUGAUAAUUUUAUACCAGUGGAUAACCGUGGUAAUUCUAUGGCUAAUACAUACAUUAAAAGGGCUUUGCUAUGCAAAGCCUGUAGUUAUUAGAUACAAAACCAAUGCAUGCAAAUGCUUACAUGGUGACUCAUAGUAAACUUACAGAUCGUUGCUAUUGCGACGUGUCAAUCAAAUUUCUGCCCUAUCAACUGUCGAUGGUAAGGUAGUGGCUUACCAUGGUUGUAACGGGUGACGGGGAAUAAGGGUUCUAUUCCGGAGAGGGAGCCUGAGAAACGGCUACCACAUCCAAGGAAGGCAGCAGGCGCGCAAAUUACCCAAUCCUAAUACAGGGAGGUAGUGACAAUAAAUAACAAUCUAGGGCCCUUAUGGGUCAUAGAAUUGGAAUGAAUACAAAUUAAAACUCUUAAUGAGGAACCAUUGGAGGGCAAGUCUGGUGCCAGCAGCCGCGGUAAUUCCAGCUCCAAUAGCGUAUAUUAAAGUUGUUGCAGUUAAAACGCCCGUAGUCGAACUUUUGGGGGUAGGGUGGUUAAGAGGGGUGCUGGCUUUGGCCUGUAUUCUUCUUUUCCUCCAGACCCUCAUUUAGAUUCCUAGCCUUUGGGCUUAUUUGCAACUUUACUGGUGUAGAUAGGUCAUUUCCUUUUGGUGGGCUAGGAGUGAUUACUUUGAAAAAAUUAGAGUGUUCAAAGCAGGCUUUUUAAGCUGAAUACAUUAGCAUGGAAUAAUAAAAUAGGACUUUGGUUUUAUUUUGUUGGUUUAUAAAACUAAAGAAAUGAUGAAUAGGUUUGGUUGGGGACAUUAGUAUUUAAUAGUCAGAGGUGAAAUUCUUGGAUUUAUGAAAGACUAACUUCUGCGAAAGCAUUUGUCAAGGACAAACCCAUUGAUCAAGGACGAAAGUUGGGGGAUCGAAGAUGAUUAGAUACCGUCGUAGUCUCAACCAUAAACUAUGCCAACUAGGGAUUGGGCCUGAUCUGAUCAGGCUCAGCACCUUGUGAGAAAUCAAAGUUUU
rnacentral:rRNA from 1 species